GGUGGAGGACGUGGCAUGAGACUUGCUAAAGAGCCUGAUGAAUUUGUGAAGUUGUUGCAGCAAGCCAAGAGUGAGGCUGCAGCUGCAUUUGGGAAUGACGGUGUUUAUCUUGAAAAGUAUGUCCAAAAUCCAAGGCAUAUUGAGUUUCAGGUUCUUGCAGAUAAGUAUGGAAAUGUUGUUCAUUUUGGAGAGCGUGAUUGCAGCAUUCAGAGACGGAACCAAAAGCUUCUAGAGGAGGCACCAUCUCCUGCCUUAACCCCCGAGUUAAGGAAGG
rnacentral:misc_RNA from 1 species